rnacentral:rRNA from 1 species
GGAAUCGCUAGUAAUCGCGGAUCAGAAUGCCGCGGUGAAUACGUUCCCGGGCCUUGUACACACCGCCCGUCACACCACGAGAGUUUGUAACACCCGAAGUCGGUGGGGUAACCUUUUUGGAGCCAGCCGCCUAAGGUGGGACAGAUGAUUGGGGUGAAGUCGUAACAAGGUAGCCGUAUCGGAAGGUGCGGCUGGAUCACCUCCUUU